AACGAACGCUGGCGGCAUGCCUAACACAUGCAAGUCGAACGAAGGCUUCGGCCUUAGUGGCGCACGGGUGAGUAACGCGUGGGAAACUGCCUAUUGGUGGGGAAUAACGACGGGAAACUGUCGCUAAUAUCGCCUAAGCCCUUCGGGGGAAAGAUUUAUCGCCGAUAGAUGUGCCCGCGUCCGAUUAGCUAGUUGGUGAGGUAAUGGCUCACCAAGGCGACGAUCGGUAACUGGUCUGAGAGGAUGAGCAGCCACACUGGGACUGAGACACGGCCCAGACUCCUACGGGCGGCAGCAGUGGGGAAUAUUGGACAAUGGGCGAAAGCCUGAUCCAGCAAUGCCGCGUGAGUGAUGAAGGCCUUAGGGUUGUAAAGCUCUUUCGGGUGGGACGAUGAUGACGGUACCACCAGAAGAAGCCCCGGCUAACUUCGUGCCAGCAGCCGCGGUAA
rnacentral:rRNA from 1 species